rnacentral:rRNA from 1 species
CCCCUAGACGUUCUGGGCUGCACGCGCGCUACAAUAAUACGCACAGCGAGUAUCGCCGAGCUCGAAAGGGCAAGGUAAACAAUAGAAAAGGUACUGUAAUGGUUAUAGAUCCUUGUAAUUAUUGAUCUUCAACGAGGAAUUCCUAGUAAGUAUGUGUCAUCAUCACGCACUGAUUACGUCCCUGCCCUUUGUACACACCGCCCGUCGCUCCUACCGAUUGGGUGAGCCGAUGAAACUCUCGGAUGUAGGCUAUUCAUAGCCCGCAGAAGAGAUUUGAAUCGUAGCGCUUAGAGGAAGGAGAAGUCGUAACA